CUAGGGAACAAGUACACUAGGGAACAAGUACACUAGGGAACAAGUAAACUAGGGAACAAGUACACUAGGGAACAAGUUAACUAGGGAACAAGUUAACUAGGGAACAAGUACACUAGGGAACAAGUACACUAGGGAACAAUAAACUAUGGAACAAGUACACUAGGGAACAAUAAACUAGGGAACAAGUACACUAGGGAACAAUAAACUAGGAAACAAGUUAACUAGGGAACAAGUACACUAUCGAACAAGUUAACUAGGGAACAAGUACACUAGGGAACAAUAAACUAGGGAACAAGUUAACUAGGGAACAAGUACACUAUCGAACAAGUUAACUAGGGAACAAGUACACUAGGGAACAAGUACACUAGGAAACAAGUUAACUAGGGGAACCAUUACACUAUCGAACAAGUAAACUAGGAAAUAAGUUAACUAGGGAACAAGUACACUAGGGAACAAGUACACUAGGGAACAAAUUAACUAGGGAACAAGUACACUAGGGAACAAGUACACUAGGGAACAAGUGAACUAGGGGACAAGUACACUAGAGAACAAGUACACUAGGGAACAAGUACACUAGGGAACAAGUUAACUAGGGAACAUUAAACUAGGGAACAAGUAAACUAGGAAACAAGUUAACUAGGGAACAAGUACACUAGGGAAUAAGUACACUAGGGAACAAGUUAACUAGGGAACAAUAAACUAGGGAAUUAGUUAACUAGGGAACAAGUACACUAGGGAACAAGUACACUAGGGAAUAAGUUAACUAGGGAACAACAAACUAGGGAACAAGUUAACUAGGGGACAAGUACACUAGGGAACAAGUACACUAGGAAAUUAGUUAACUAGGGAACAGGUACACUAGGGAACAAGUUAACUAGGGAACAAUAAACUAGAGAACCAAAAACUAGUGAACAAUAAACUAGGGAACAAGUACACUAGGGAACAAGUACACUAGGGAACAAGUUAACUAGGGAACAAGUACACUAGGGAACAAGUACACUAGGGUACAGGUACACUAGGGAACAAGUUAACUAGGGAACAAGUACACUAGUGAACAAGUACACUAGGGAAUUAGUUAACUAGGGAACAAGUUAACAAGGGAACAAGUACACUAGGGAACAAGUACACUAGGGAACAUUUAACUAGGGAACAAGUACACUAGGGAACAAGUACACUAGGGUACAAGUACACUAGGGAACAAGUGAACUAGGGAACAAGUACACUAGGGAACAAGUACACUAGGGAACAAGUACACUAGGGAACAAGUGAACUAGGGAACAAGUACACUAGAGAACAAGUACAGUAGGGAACAAGUACACUAGGGAACAAGUACACUAGGGAACAAGUUAACUAGGGAACAAGUACACUAGGGAACAAGUACACUAGGGAACAAGUUAACUAGGGAACAAUAAACUAGGGAACAAGUUAACUAGGGAACAAGUACACUAGGGAACAAGUACACUAGGGAAUUAGUUAACUAGGGAACAAGUACACUAGGGAACAAGUUCACUAGGGAACAAGUACACUAGGGAACAAGUUAACUAGGGAACAAGUACACUAGGGAACAAGUUAACUAGGGAACAAGUACACUAGGGAACAAGUACACUAGGGAACAUUUAACUAGGGAACAAGUACACUAGGGAACAAGUACACUAGGGAACAAGUUCACUAGGGAACAAUAAACUAGGGAACAAGUUUACUGGGAAACAAUAAACUAGGGAACAAUAAACUAGGGAACAAUAAACUAGGGAACAAGUAAACUAGGGAACAAUAAACUAGGGAACAAUAAACUAGGGAACAAGUAAACUAGGGAACAAUAAACUAGGGAACAAGUACACUAGGGAACAAGUACACUAGGGAACAAGUGCACUAGGGAACAAUAAACUAGGGAACAAUAAAGUAGGGAACAAGUACAAUAGGGAACAAGUAAACUAGGGAAAAAUAAACUAGGGAACAAUAAACUAGGAAACAAAGAACUAGGAAACAACAAGGGAACAAGUAAACUAGGUAACAAGUGAACUAGGGAACAAGUAAUUAGGAAACAACUAGGGAACUAGUAAAUGAUCUGACUUCAGUCAAACUGAAAUCGUUAAACUGCGGCGGCUGAGCGCGCUCCAUGUUCUCCAUAUUUGUCGUCUACAUUAACAUGCAGCCGCAGCAGCCCGCCACUCGCUCGCUCUCUCUCGCUCGCUCUCUCGCUCUGAGAGGAACUCAACAUCAUCAACACGGCGGCUGUAGCUGCAGGCGAAAACAACACGCCUUUAAACGCACCCUGUCGAAGAAGAAACGCUCUCAGUCUCUCCGAGCUCGUCUAAUCGUGGGCUUCCUGUUUUUGUUGCUCUGUAUGAAUAUGAGUGUGUGUCUGUGUGUCUGUGUGUGUGUGUUUAAAUCCCUGGGUGCUCUCUCUCUCUCUCUCCCUCCCUCUCUCUCUCUCCCUCUCUCUCCCUCUCUCUCUCUCUCUCUCUCUCGGCGUGAUAUCAGGCGCCCAUGGAUCCUCAGAAGCAGGAAUUACCAGUUAAUGCACCUCUGAAGAGAGCAUCUGCACUUAAGACAAUUAUACCACAGAUGGGUGUGUAGGGUGUGUGUGUGUGUGUGUGUGUGUGUGUGUGUGUGUGUGUGAGGGGGAGACGACAAAGAGAAUACAGAGUGUUACAGGCAGAGAGGAUGGUGGGAAAACAGGGAGAAGAAGAAGAAGAAGAAGAGCUUUCUGUGUCUGUGAAAAACACUUUCCUCCAAAAUCCGUUUUCCUCGCCGCCGCCGCCGCCACCGCCGCUCUGAGGCUUCAAAACGUUCGCUGGGAGAAAAGCUGUGUUUGUAAGGUCCUGAAAUAAACCUCAAAGUCAGCUCACACACACACACACACACACACACACACACACACACACACACACCUAUCCUGGCGAUCUCAGGUGAGGAGAAGAAGCUAGUGUGUGUGUGUGUGUGUGUGUGUGUGUGUGUGUGUGUGGACAAGGUUCGAAGGAAGUACUGAGGUUCAAGGAGGUUAGGAGGUGAGAAAGCAUGCAAGGACAGUGGACAAGGAAGUGAGGAAGCAUGGAAGGACACGACACCACCAACAAAAGAAGAGAAGAGGAGAUCACAGCAGUAAUCAGAGAGGGGACAAGGAAAUAGGGAACAAGGAAACAAUGAGGGAACAAGUAAACAAGGAAACAAUGAGGGAACAAGUAAACUAGGAAAAAAACUAGGGAACAAGUAAACCAGAGAACUAGGGAACAAAAAUUCUAAGGGAACAAGUAUUCUAGGAAUCAAGUAAACUAGGGAACAAUGAGGGAACAAGAAUUCUAGAGAGCAAGUAUACUAGGGAACAAGCUCCCGCCCCCUCCCUGUGACAUCAGCACGCUGACCCGCCCCCAGGGCGAACCGACUGGUCUGCUUUAAAAUGAACUCCUGCCGCUCUGACCUGAGCUCACACUGAGCAUGUGCACAGGCGUGAUGGAAGAAAGGAGAGUUCAUUAAGGGGGGGUUCCUCCUCCUCCUCCUCCUCCUCCUCCUCUUCUCCCUCCAGUCCUACUUUUAACUCCCCUCCGCUGGAGUCGGCGGUCCAUCUCGCGCCGCAGAUUGCCUAUGACAGCCGCGCUUUUUCAAGUCAGGGGUUUGAGCUAAAUUGGAGUGAGCAAUACCACCUGUGCCUGCUGAAGGGCCGCUCCGGUUCACGCCGCCGCCGCCGCCGCUCUGCUGCAGAGAGGAAGUGAGGCGGGGGGAGGGGGGGUGAAAAAGCUGCUACCUGCGACCAUCAAAGCUUCACUCUCACAUGAAAUCUGCCCAGCUGGUUCCCUGAGAGGAGGCGAACGACCGCUGCUGCCUCUCCUUCCUCACUUCCAUCCUUCUAUUCCUCCUUCUCUCCUCACCUCGCUCCCUCUGCAGAUGUGUUUCCUCCUCUCCUCCCCCCUCUCUCUCUCUCUCUUCAGUCCCUCCAGUUAACCCUUUAAUGAACAUGUUUGGGAUUUAAACCAGUUUCCAGAAUAAUCAGAUUUAAGAUCAUUUACAGUCAGGAUUCAUCAUCAGUGUGUCGAAAAACCUUUUUAUUCUCCUCUUUUUAAUGAACAUUUAUCUGUUUUUAUUUCCUUUAACUGAACAUUAUUACUGAUCUAAACCUUUUUAUUCUCCUCUCUUUAACAUUUAUCUGUUUUUAUUUCCUUUGACUGAACUCUAUGACUAAUUUAAAACAUAAUAAAGUCUGAGUGUCUGAUUUAGAGCAGACUGAAAUAAGAAGUAAAAAAACCCUCAAAAACAGCAAACAGAUAAACAAGAACACAGCUCUGUGAUAGAAAUAUGAAGUGUUCUAGGGAACAAGUCAACGAGGGAACAAGUGAAUGAGGAAACAAGUAUUUUAGGGAACAAGUCAACUAGGGAACAAGAGAAUGAGGAACUAGGGAACAGGUAUUCUAGGGAACAAGUAGACAAGGGACAAAAAAACUAGGGAACAAGUAUUCUACGGAACAAAUAAACUAGGGAACAGAAUAAGGGAAAAAGUAUUUCAAGUAAAAGGUAUUCUAGUAAACAAGUAUUCUAGGGAACAAAUAUUCUAGGGAACAUUAAAAUAGGGAACAAGUAAACAAGUUUACUAGGGAAAAAAAGAGGGAACUAGUAAACUACGAAACAAGUUAACAGGGAAACAAGUAGGGAACUAGUGUUCUAGGGUACAGGUUGACUAGGGAACAAGUAAACUAGGGAACAAGUAAACAAGGGAACAGAACUAGGGAACAAUUAUUCUAGGGAAUAAGUAAACCAGGGAACAAGUAAACUAGAGAACAACGAGGGAACUAGUAAACUAGGGAAUAAGUUAAGUAGGAAACAACCAGGGAGCAAGUAUUCUUGGAAACAAGUAAACUUGGGAACAAGUAAACUAGGGAACAAGAAGGGAACAAGUCCAGUUGGUUCAGAUAAACAAUAAUUCAGGUGAGUGAUGUUUAGUGAUAAAUAUCAAUAAAGUU